rnacentral:ncRNA from 1 species
AUCGUGAGGUUUCGUGGGAAGGAAGCCUACGUCAAAGUUGUGAGCCUACGGACAGGAACGUUCUAUAAGGUCGAUGCGAUGGGUAAGGUGGCACAACACAUCGAAGCCCUUGAUUUAGUCGUAGAGAUAAAGAACGAGG